UACGUAGGGGGCAAGCGUUGUCCGGAAUCAUUGGGCGUAAAGAGCGUGUAGGCGGCCAGAUAAGUCCGCUGUGAAAUCUCGAGGCUCAACUUCGAGCUGUCGGUGGAAACUGUCUGGCUAGAGUCCGGAAGAGGAGAAUGGAAUUCCUGGUGUAGCGGUGAAAUGCGCAGAUAUCAGGAGGAACACCGGUGGCGAAGGCGGAUCUCUGGGCCUUGCCUGACGCUGAGGCGCGAAAGCUAGGGGAGCGAACAGG
rnacentral:rRNA from 1 species